rfam:Homo sapiens chromosome 5, GRCh38 reference primary assembly.
GCCAGGCAUGGUGGCUCAUGCCUGUAAUCCUAGCACAUUGGGAGGCCGAGGUGGGUGGAUCACUUGAGGCCAGGAGUUCAAGACCAGCCUGGCCAACACAGUGAAAUCCCAUCUCUA